rnacentral:rRNA from 1 species
UACGUAGGGAGCAAGCGUUGUUCGGAUUUACUGGGCGUAAAGGGCGCGUAGGCGGCGCGGUAAGUCACUUGUGAAAUCUCUGAGCUUAACUCAGAACGGCCAAGUGAUACUGCAGUGCUAGAGUGCAGAAAGGGCAAUCGGAAUUCUUGGUGUAGCGGUGAAAUGCGUAGAUAUCAAGAGGAACACCUGAGGCGAAGGCGGGUUGCUAGGCUGACACUGACGCUGAGUGCGCGAAAGCGUGGGUAGCAAACAGG